GGACAAAGGACCCAUUUUCCCCUCAGUUUCAACCCCAAAAACGGACCAAAGAACCCUUUUUCCUCAGGUUUACACCCAAAAGGGAAUGCAAACGCCACUUUUUUUUCCCUCACGUUUAACCCCCAAACGGGCCGGGAAACCCUUUUUUUUCUGCUUUCUACCUAAAAAAACAAUCCUUUUUUCCUCAUUUAUAGUCCCCAGGAUGGACCACGAACCCCUUUUCCCACAGUUCUACCCCAAAACAGAGCAGGGAAUCCUUCCCCCCCCCCCCCCUUUUUUAACCCAAAAACGAACAUUGGAUCCCUUUUACCCACAGUUUUGACCCCAAAAUCGUGAAAGAAACCCUUUUACCCCCUCACAUUAUACCUAAACUACACAAAAAACCCUUUUUCCUUUAACUUUACCUCAUUUUUUCUCAUCAAUACCCCAAACUGCACUGGGGAACCCCUUUUUCCUCAGUUCUAACCUUAAAAGUGACCCAGGAAACCCCAUUUCCCCUCCAUUCUACCCCCAAAAACACCCAAACCCCCAUUUUCCCUGACUUCUACCCCAAAAAUGGGCUGGGGAACCCCUUUUUACCCCAAUUACACCCCAAAACUGACCCCAAAAAUUGGGGACUCCCCAAAAAUGUGCCCACGUGACCCCAAAACUCCCUUUUCCCGCUUCCUUUUCCCCCAAAAUGAUCCCAAGCUUUAAUUUUCCCCCAAUUUCACCAAAAAAAUGCCUCCAAACACCUCGUGACCCCAAUUCCCCUCAUUUUUAUCCCAAUACCACCUCAGAAUCCCAAUUCCCCUCACUUUCACCCCCAAAACCACCUCAGAAUCCCAAUUCCCCCCAGUUUUAUCCCAAAACCACCUCAUGACCCCAAUUCCCCUCAGUUUUUAUCCCCAAACCACCUCAGUAUCCCAAUUCCCCUCAGUUUUAUCCCAAAACCACCUCAGAAUUCCAAUUCCCCUCAGUUUUAUCCCAAAACCACCUCAGGAUCCCAAUUCCCCUCACUUUCACCCCCAAAACCACCUCACAAUUCCAAUUCCUCUCAUUUUUUAUCCCAAAACCACCUCAUGACCCCAAUUCCCCUCAGUUGUAUCCCAAAACCACCUCAGAAUUCCAAUUCCCCUCAGUUUUAACCCAAAACCACCUCAGAAUCCCCAAUUCCCCCCAGUUGUAUCCCAAAACCACCUCAGAAUUCCAAUUCCCCUCAGUUUUAUCCCAAAACCACCUCAGAAUUCCAAUUCCCCUCAGUUUUAUCCCAAAACCACCUCAGAAUCCCAAUUCCCCUCAGUUUUUAUCCCCAAACCACCUCAGGAUCCCAAUUCCCCUCAGUUUUUAUGCCCAAAACCACCUCACGACCCCAAUUCCCCUCAGUUUUUAUGCCCAAAACCACCUCACGACCCCAAUUCCCCUCAGUUUUAUCCCAAAACCACCUCAGAAUUCCAAUUCCCCUCAGGUUUAUCCCCAAACCACCACAGGACCCCAAUUCCCCACAGUUUUAUCCCAAAACCACCUCAGAAUCCCAAUUCCCCUCACUUUCACCCCCAAAACCACCUUAGAAUCCCAAUUCCUCCCAGUUUUAUCCCAAAACCACCUCAUGACCCCAAUUCCCCUCAGUUUUUAUCCCCAAACCACCUCAGGAUCCCAAUUCCCCUCAUUUUUAUCCCCAAACCACCUCAGGACCCCAAUUCCCCUCAGUUUUUAUCCCCAAACCACCUCAGAAUUCAAAUUCCCCUCAUUUUUAUCCCAAUACCACCUCAGAAUCCCAAUUCCCCUCACUUUCACCCCCAAAACCACCUCAGAAUCCCAAUUCCCCCCAGUUUUAUCCCAAAACCACCUCAUGACCCCAAUUCCCCUCAGUUUUUAUCCCAAAACCACCUCAGUAUCCCAAUUCCCCUCAGUUUUAUCCCAAAACCACCUCAGGACCCCAAUUCCCCUCAUUUUUAUCCCAAAACCACCUCAGAAUUCCAAUUCCCCUCAUUUUUAUCCCCAAAACCACCUCAGGACCCCAAUUCCCCUCAUUUUUAUCCCAAAA
ensembl:lncRNA